CCUCCAACCGGCAGGAUGCACGCGCAGGUUUUUACUGGCUGAAUCUUAAACUUUACCGUCUGUUUCUUUUUUAAAUAGAACAUAAAAAAUUUCCGCAUCUGAAGGGACGGAUCGGAUUGUACGAAGAGGAACGGGGCGGAGGAUUAAACCGGACCAAGGAGGAAAUCUGACCGGGAAAGGGACGCUGCGAAGCCUCGACGAGGAUUGUCACGUUCAGCCUCAGCAAGCUGAUCCCCCCCCCUCUAAAAAUAGGCGACUUUCGGCACGCGGAGCGCGCCGCUGGUCUGCGGAACGUCCGCGAACCUGAAGCGGACAUCUCAGCUUGUUGAAAGUUGAGCUUCAGCCAUUGGCACAAGAUUGAUGCUCCUCAGCUGCGCAUUUAACCCCCUAAAAUAUUCACGGAUGCACGUUGGAUUAUCAGUUCGUGUGAUUGAUUACAUCUGCGUUAGUGGGGAUGGACACCGCCCGGACCAGUUUCUGGGCUUGACAGGAGGAUUUUACCUUUGUAAUCCCCCUUUUUCUACUCCAGCUUCCAUCCCUGCAUCCAGACGCAUUACCGGAUUGUUCUGAAAGUGCAUUUGUGGCCCUUUCUGGAUAAGUAGCUGCAUUUUGGGACCGUUCAAAGCCUCGUAAACGGAUACCUGGUUGAGAGAAACAGUUUUCUGCUCAAGGACACCUUCCCUGUUGGCGGAUGUAGUUGUUGGUUGAAGCCUGUUUGGGUUUCGGAGUGCAUACACCGGGGCAGCGCGCGGACACCACUUUUCUCUCUGCGGGAACUCGGCUCAGCUGAAGCGACGUUUGCAUGCACGGAUGACACGAGCUUGCUUUAAUGCGUUCCAGGAGUGGCGUUAAUUGGGCGAGUGAUACAUUAUUUGGAGUUUUGACCCCUUCAUCCAUCCACCCUUCUGGAUUUAGGAUGUAUCCGCACAUAGAUGCUUUUCUAGGAUCUGCGUGGUGAGACAACCGGCACCAGAUUGCAGUGUGAUGGUCUCUGAGCAUAAAGGAAGCCCCUGGGACACAUUUGGAGGACUUUAAAACCCUGAACAGUGUCAGGACGGACUGAUCCCACUACCUGAUGAAAGACAGAUCUCGAUCAGUGGACGACUGUGAGGCUUCAUUAGUGGGAGGGUGUCCUUGUUAGCUUGUCAUCCUGUUGUAACCCUGAAGCCAGUGAUGUGACUGGAAUGUAAAUUCCUGAUAAAAAGGACUGACUCCACCUGCAGACUUCUUCCUUCCCAGAGAAACUCAGGCAGACUUGGCAGACUUUGACGGGCAGCUAACUAAGCCAAUGGACGACUUCCAGGACUUUUAAACAGCAUCUGCCGGGUCCUGCAGUUUAACCUAAGUGAUCCACGAGGACGCGCACGUGAACCCUGAUGAGCACAAGCUUCAUAAGAAGAGGACAACCACCCCCUUCCUGAUUAAGAAGGCUGCAGAUCAGAUUCCAUCGUUUGUUCCCAGCUGGUCCUGAUCGGCUCCUGUUUACCAGUAAAACCCUGAAGUCCAGCUCAGAAGACGAGUAACCAUGGACGGCAUCUCCUUGUCGGCCUGUCUCCUCCUUAUCCUCCUGUCCUUCCUGCCCUCCUGCUUCUCC